rnacentral:rRNA from 1 species
UACGGGGGGAGCAAGCGUUGUUCGGAUUUACUGGGCGUAAAGGGCGCGUAGGCGGCGUGACAAGUCACUUGUGAAAUCUCCGGGCUUAACCCGGAGCGGUCAAGUGAUACUGUCGUGCUAGAGUGCGGAAGGGGCUACUGGAAUUCUCGGUGUAGCGGUGAAAUGCGUAGAUAUCGAGAGGAACACCUGCGGCGAAGGCGGGUAGCUGGGCCGACACUGACGCUGAGGAGCGAAAGCGUGGGGAGAGAACAGG